rnacentral:lncRNA from 1 species
GUCCUUAAUCUUUCUUUGCUUGUCAGUUGGCUGGAUAUGCUCUACUGCUAGGAGUGUAACCAUUUUUAGUCCUGACGUAGGAAGACAGCUAGAAGAUAGUAGUAAAUUUUGCUGACAGGAAAAAGGCCAAGUUGGAACUCGCAUGCAUGUAAAUCAUCCUGCUAGUUAGUCAUUGUUCUCACCAAUAACACUACGGAUCUGGAGUGUGACUUGAACAGAGCGGCUAUGUGAAUACUCAGCUGGCCUGGUUCCUGCGGACUUUGGAAAGCCCUUAGGUGGGACCGGAGUGUUCUGAGGUGGGGCGUGCUGAGUCAUGUCUUCUCAGCUGCUCUUUUGUAAUAAUUAUUCCUGACAGUGACCAGUCACUGAACAUUCCAGGCUUACGCCUGUGUUACUAGACUUUUUAUGUUUAUUGCCAAACUGAAAUGCUGAAAACACCCAGCAGUGGUAGGUACACUGCAAGUCUCCAGUCAGAAGGCCUCCAUUCCGGGAUGAUUAAUAUCACGUGCCAGUCCUGUUGCUCUGCUUCUCCUCCCAGGAUGCUCCAAGCUCCCAGCUGCACUCCCAGCCCAUCCAGGCUGGACACCGGGCACCUUCCUGUCUCAGCUCACAUUUCGCCUUCCUGAAGAUCUGAGACAGUCUCUCCCAACUUCACGCACUGGCUCUGCCACUUACCAACUGUGUGACUUACGGAUGGUGGUUUGGCAGUAGAUGGUCAACACAGAUGAUUAUCUUUCCUGGCUGUUCUAGAGUAACAAUACCAUCACUGUCCUCUGAUUGGAAUUUGCUUCAUAAUUUAGCAUUUAACCUUAAACUCUCUUGUACCUUUGCCCACUAUUUCGUGUGGUGUUUAUUUUGUUUCCUUAGCCUAAAACCUCCCUGGGAAGACAGAAAAGGCUUUAUUUUCUUUUGGGAUCCUUUUAGAAUGUGUUCUCCAUUCACAGAGCAAGCUUAUGCAGGCUUUGAAUAUGUCACAGUUGGUGGGCAGUUUAGUUUGUUGACACCACUGUUUUCAGUUCCAUUAGGUUGGGGCAGUAGGAUCAGAUCAGGUAACGAGGGUGUCAGGGCAUUGGGACUGAGUUGAACCCAACGGACCAUGGCUGACUAUGAUGUGGAGGUUGUCUCAUUGCAUCAGAAGAGUUCAGUUUUUCAGAAAGUGGAAAGCCCUCAUUUACGUCAUCAGUCAAAACAGAGGGCUUCUCUUACAGCCUAAUACAUGAAAUGUCUAUUUCUCUUCUUCAUUACAGACACCCAGUUGCCCUUGCCAGAAACUUGAGUCAUUCUUAACGCUUCCCUCUUGACUUCCCUCAUUGCCCAAGCUAAGAGUGUCAGCAAGAUCCAGUAGACUCAACCUCUCUGUGUCUCUGCAGUCUGGCCCUCCUCUCUAUGCCCUCCCCGAGGCUUUAGUUCCGGCUUCCAUCAUGUCUUAUUGGCAUCUUUAUAAUAACCUCACAGCAGGUCUCCCUGUCGUUCAAUUUACUUCUCUGUCAUUUACCUCCAAAAUUCUGCUGCCAUUAUCUUUCUUAAACAACAGUCUGAUCAUGCCACUCAUAUAUAUAUAUAUUUUUUUUUUUUUUUUUGAGGCAGUCUUUUUCUGUUGUCCACGCUGGAGUGCAGUGGCACAUUCUGGGCUCACCACAAACUCUGCCUCCCAGGUUCAAGUGAUUCAAGUACUGGGAUUACAGGUGUGAGCCACCACACCUGGUCAGAUUGGCAUGUUGCCAAAAAAUCAUUCUGACUACAAUACGGGGAAUAAAUUGAAGAGGGAAAA